GGAGGCAGCAGUGGGGAAUAUUGGGCAAUGGAGGCAACUCUGACCCAGCAACGCCGCGUGAAUGAUGAAGGUCUUCGGAUUGUAAAGUUCUGUGAUGGGGGACGAAGAAAGUGACGGUACCCCAAUAGGAAGCUCCGGCUAACUACGUGCCAGCAGCCGCGGUAAUACGUAGGUAGCAAGCGUUGUCCGGAAUUACUGGGCGUAAAGGGUGCGUAGGUGGCUUAACAAGUUGGUAGUGAAAUUCCGAGGCUUAACUUCGGCGCUACUACCAAGACUGUUGAGCUUGAGUACAGGAGAGGUAAGUGGAAUUCCUAGUGUAGCGGUGGAAUGCGUAGAUAUUAGGAGGAACACCAGUGGCGAAGGCGACUUACUGGCCUGCAACUGACACUGAGGCACGAAAGCGUGGGGAGCAAACAGGAUUAGAUACCCUGGUAGUCCACGCCGUAAACGAUGAUUACUAGGUAUGGGAGGUAUCGACUCCUUCCGUGCCGCAGCAAACGCAAUAAGUAAUCCGCCUGGGGAGUACGGCCGCAAGGUUGAAACUCAAAGAAAUUGACGGGGACCCGCACAAGCAGCGGAGCAUGUGGUUUAAUUCGACGCAACGCGAAGAACCUUACCAGGUCUUGACAUCCUUCUGACCGCCUAAGAGAUUAGGUUUCUCUAGCAAUAGAGCAGAGAGACAGGUGGUGCAUGGUUGUCGUCAGCUCGUGUCGUGAGAUGUUGGGUUAAGUCCGACAACGAGCGCAACCCCUGUAUACAGUUGCCAAUAUUAAGUUAGGAACUCUGUAUAAACUGCCGUGGAUAACACGGAGGAAGGUGGGGAUGACGUCAAAUCAUCAUGCCCCUUACGACCUGGGCUACACACGUGCUACAAUGGCUAUUACAAAGAGCAGCGAAACUGUAAAGUCGAGCGAAUCUCAAAAAGAU
rnacentral:rRNA from 1 species